AUUGAACGCUGGCGGCAGGCCUAACACAUGCAAGUCGAGCGGAUGAGUGGAGCUUGCUCCAUGAUUCAGCGGCGGACGGGUGAGUAAUGCCUAGGAAUCUGCCUGGUAGUGGGGGACAACGUUUCGAAAGGAACGCUAAUACCGCAUACGUCCUACGGGAGAAAGUGGGGGAUCUUCGGACCUCACGCUAUCAGAUGAGCCUAGGUCGGAUUAGCUAGUUGGUGAGGUAAAGACUCACCAAGGCGACGAUCCGUAACUGGUCUGAGAGGAUGAUCAGUCACACUGGAGCUGAGACACGGUCCAGACUCCUACGGGAGGCAGCAGUGGGGAAUAUUGGACAAUGGGCGAAAGCCUGAUCCAGCCGUGCCGCGUGUGUGAAGAAGGUCUUCGGAUUGUAAAGCACUUUAAGUUGGGAGGAAGGGCAGUAAGUUAAUACCUUGCUGUUUUGACGUUACCAACAGAAUAAGCACCGGCUAACUUCGUG
rnacentral:rRNA from 1 species